GUUUUAAUAGUUUAACAAAAACAUUGGUUUUGUAAACCAAAAUUAAAUAUUUUUUUUUAAAACA
rnacentral:tRNA from 1 species